CAUGGAGACCUCCAACACCGCUCUCCACUACGUGCCUCUUCUCCUGCUUAAGAACCUGGACGUCUUAGACGAGCUGGGCUUAUGGUGAAUGUGAUUGGGGACAGUCAAGGGUCUCUGAGGCCAUGCUGGAAGGUUGUUGGGUGAUGAACGAAGACAUCUGUCCUGAUCAGUCUGAAAAAUAAAAAAUCCACCUCUGUAAGGAUUUGUAACUUAUAAUGAAGUUUUGCUGCCAACAGAGCUCUUUGAAAUUGACAAGGACACUACUGUGUACACCAUCCUGAGCUCUGUCCUCCACGACCCAUACCACUUUGAGAAGCCAGAUGCUUUCCAUUCUGGCCACUUCCUGGAUUUGGAGGGCAACUUCAGGAAGCAAGAAGCCUUCAUCCUAUUCUCCAUGGCUCUGCUUCCUGCCCCACUGGGGAGGGGGAGAAGGGAUGAAGAUCCCCUCAGAGUCCUUGCAUCCAGCCCUCGUCUCUGCCCACAAAGAAUCUGUGGAGGUCUCCUGACUCCUCCCUGUUCAUUCUACCCUGUGUCCCUGGCAACCACUGCUAUGAUUCUGUCUCUGAAAACUUACCUGUUCUGGAAGUUUCAUAUGAAUGGACUCAAACAGUUGUCCUGAAGAGGUUAAACCUUCACAAUGUUCCAUAACAUUCCGAAGUCAUGUGCCACUCCAAAAGCAUAAUGGCUGAGGUAUACAUAUCUGCGAACUGGUCUUCAGCCAACUGACAACCUCAAGUUAAAGUAAUUCAUUGUGGUUGUUGUGCUGAUUUUAUUUCUGGUAAAUAAGUACUCUCAAUUGUGCCCACUGAAGAAAUUUCUGCAUAUCCAGCUUGGUAAUGUCCUUCCUCAUCCUUUAAGUAAGACCUGUCUUUAAACCAACUUAAAUCAGCAUUCUCAGUAGGAAUUUCUUGUGAGUCAUUGCUAAGAGCAAGAAGGUAAUCUGUUAUUAAAAUACAGUCGUGGUCAA
rnacentral:lncRNA from 1 species